CAUCAUGCAUUUUGACAAUUUAUCACAGGAGGGAGUUGUCGUUUAGGACGACUGUAGAUUUUUUAUUUAUUUUCUUUUCGUAUAAGUAGGAAAACUAGUAAGAAGUGGUUUCAAAGUGUUCAGAGUAAAUUAAAGAUUCCGCCUAUUUUGAUAAAAGCUCCUAUCAACCAUGUGUUACGUUAUAAUAACUGGUAGAAGUCUAGUAUGGCUCCUGCUGAGUUUGGUUGCAUUUAUGUUCAUUUUGACCGGUAUAAUGACGCCGAAAUGGCUUUUGGCGCAACCAGUAGUAUUAAACGAGAAUAAUAAGACAACCUUUUACAUCCCAAGUGUCGGAAUUUAUAAUAGAUGCAUUCGUAUGGAAAGAGAUCCGAACAACUGUGCAUCAUUCUCCUUCUACGGUCUGGCUACGGACGCCACGGUCUACCCCACCCCUUGGAAGGCUGCUAUGUUCUUCUUAUCACUCUGUGCAGCGAUUCAGUUCGCGACAGUCCUGGGCGGCGUGAUGGCGUGUUGUGUGCAGGCUGUCUUCAAGAAGAGCGUCAUAUCGCUGGCUGGAGCCACGCAGGCUUUGGGAGGUCUAUUCGGCGUGCUAGGGUUGCUCCUGUACCCGUGGGGGUGGGGAUCUCAGCGUGUCAAGCGAAUGUGUGGCGAGUACUCUGAGCCUUACAUACCCGGAGACUGUUCUAUAGGCUGGGCCCUAUUCGUGACGGCGACGGGCGUGGCGCUGGUGUUCCUCGCCAGUGCGCUCUCGAAGACAGCGGACAAGGCAGCCAACUCGGACAAGGUGCAGUUCCAGAUGGACGAAGGAAAACAGCUCAUAUGUCUUGCUUGAUUGUGGCGGUUGACUGUAAGGUCGCAUUUAUAGCUAUAGGAGAGGCGAUUCGUUCGAAAUAAUGGAAUUUUGUUGACAUAAAAUACAACAUACAUAAACAGCCUAUAUACUGUAAGUCUCCGAAUAAUGCAUCAGAGACAGUUUUUGGAUGUUCAGUCAUGAGCCAUAUCAUGUACCCACUUUAGAACCAUGUCGCACUAUCAUAUUUGACAUUUAAUGAGACUUACGAUUUAAAUUGUCAAAAAUGUUAAAGUGACAUGGUUGCAAAGUGUAUACAUAUUAGUACUCGUGACCGUUCAACUCUACCGGGGUAAAUUAUAUUCCAUGUUAGAAGGUUUUAUAAUAAUAAACAUAAAUGGCGAAUGGUUGGUUGGUUGUAUGUAUUGUACACCUCUCCUACCCUUUUGGGGCUAUAGGCGUGAUGCUAUGUUUAUAUAAAUUUCAUUUCUUCGAACGAAUCUGCUUUUUUACCUUUAGAGUUCCAAAAUUAUUAUUCGAUCAUAACCCUGUGACUUCCCCAAUGUAUUUUUUAUAUUUUUAUACUCGCGAGGCUAUUGCCAUAGAUUCUCAUUAAAAAUUAAAAAAUAAACAUGACAAUAAUUUCAUCACAUCAUACAUACAUAAUAUAGGUACUGCCAUGGUAUAAGAAAACCAACCGAGUCUACAUGACAAUAAAAAUUUAUUGAGCACUCUGAUCAAUAAACGAUACGAAUGCUAUCUACGUAGAUGGACGUCAAACGGCUAUUGGUCGAAGGCCUCGAUAUAAUUCGCGCCGGCGCAGUUACCGUGCCUACAGGGGGGUUAAAAUGGCCACAUCGAAGCAAUUCAUCU
rnacentral:misc_RNA from 1 species